rnacentral:rRNA from 1 species
UGGGGAAUAUUGCACAAUGGGCGCAAGCCUGAUGCAGCCAUGCCGCGUGUGUGAAGAAGGCCUUCGGGUUGUAAAGCACUUUCAGCGGGGAGGAAGGCGAUAAGGUUAAUAACCUUGUCGAUUGACGUUACCCGCAGAAGAAGCACCGGCUAACUCCGUGCCAGCAGCCGCGGUAAUACGGAGGGUGCAAGCGUUAAUCGGAAUUACUGGGCGUAAAGCGCACGCAGGCGGUCUGUCAAGUCGGAUGUGAAAUCCCCGGGCUUAACCUGGGAACUGCAUUCGAAACUGGCAGGCCAGAGUCUUGUAGAGGGGGGUAGAAUUCCAGGUGUAGCGGUGAAAUGCGUAGAGAUCUGGAGGAAUACCGGUGGCGAAGGCGGCCCCCUGGACAAAGACUGACGCUCAGGUGCGAAAGCGUGGGGAGCAAACAGG